UGUCUCAUCGUCUUCCUGACUCACUGUCUUUCAUUUUCACAGUGAGAGCAAACGAACAUCCUCUUUCUUGUUAAACAUCCUCAUUUUAUUUUAUUUGUACUUGAAUCUCCUUGCGAAUACUCCUCAUAUGUGGAUGUUAGAGGACAGUAUGGGAGAAAUUUGGAGAGCUGGUUUCCUCACAAAACACACUGGGAGCACCAGUGUCCAGAGUGACUAGAUGCUGCAGUUGUAUCUUUGGGGAUUCAGGUGAUGAGGUCCCACUAUCCGUUGAGGAAACCCAGCCAGUGUCUACCCAUGCCAGCUCCGUUCAACCCAUCAUGGAAGAUGCCCCCGUUUACACCGCUCAUUGGGGAGCACAGGCCACCAUACACACUUGAGCGAAAUGGGAGAAAAGAAAUCUACUUGGAGGAGAACUGGACCUUUCCACAAGUUGCAUGUGUGUGUUUUAUAUAGGGGCUUUUGUGCCCUUUCCUAUUCAGCUAGUAUGCACACAUUUCUUCACUGCACCUCACGCUCCCUCCGGACUGGAGUAUGCUCACCAGUUCCAGGACCGACUCCAGUUGGCGCAUGGCACGGGAGCCAUCAAGUUGGGCAGCAGCCCAGCUGUUCUUCUUGUGUGCAGGUCAGCAGCAGACAGAGACGGUCGCGGAGAGCCAUGUUCCCGCCAGCGCCUGACAACCACCGGGGGGAGAGGGUACAUCAGCGACCAGCCACCACCACCCACUUAGUGCGUUCAGGCCGACUGAGAACCGUGCUGGAGCCCGUUCGGCCGUUCCCGAUAAUCGCGAACCGACCGUCGUGUUCACGCCACAGAUAUUUGCAUUCGCCAACCGGAAUGUCUGUGUCCUCGCCAGUGCCUCCAUCGGGAGGAGAGGGGUAUCCCCUGCACCCCUCCAUCCCCCUGCGCCAGCAGAUAGGCUAUGCUACCUCGACGACACAUGGGCGCUUUUCUACCUCCUACAGCUCCAGCACAGUAACGUUUAUGGAAGAACAUAUCUUUGGCCAUGGCUAGACAAGCAAUCUAGAAAUGUACCGUAAAAAAGGGAAAAUGAUGCUGAGGCUAUUGCCAUUUCAAAUGUUGCCGAAUGAAAUGUGCAGCAAAUGGCAUCCAGCUGCACAUUUGGAUGCAAGGAGCGGCUCUUAAUGACGCAAUAUUGAGAUUAUAUAGCCUAGUUGAGUCUUUUCCGCAAUGAGUGAAUGGGCCCACCUGCACAAAGAGGCUACAGGGACUGUUAUGUCUUGGUCUUGUGCGUGUCUUGAUCUUGGAUCCCAGUCAUGCAUUGAGCUUGCAUCCCACUGUCUUGGUGUGUGUGUCUGUUCACAUUUUCAAUAAAGGGGUGUUAAGUCAAAUUUGUGUUUUCUUAUGAUUUUCCCUGACUCUCCUCUUAGAAUAAAAAAAUGCAAAUAGUCUUAGAAUAAAAAAAUGCAAAUAGUCCUUCCGCGGACUAGGCUAUUUGAUACCGGGUCGCACGACAUGAGUUUAAAAAAAAAUGCCAGAAGACAUGCCUUUGUUAUGCACUGCAGUGCGGUAGGCCUACAUAUCUAAAAUAUAACUUUUAGUUUCGCCACAUUGCAUUAGCAAAACAAGAACACUAAUUUCCAAUAACAAGCAAACUUUUCUGUGCGGUGCCGUCUAAUCUAGUUGAAUGUCAAAUAGCCUAUGCCAGAGCUGCGAGGCCGCGCCCCCCUUAUUUUCAAUGCACCACUUAACCAGGAGAUAACCCAGCCAUGCACGGCGCAAAAUGUUUCUCAAUGAACAUAAACAUGACCAGAGAACGCAUAUUCU